GGCUCUGUAGUGCAAUGGAUAGCACAUUAGACUUCUAAUUGAAAGGUGGUGGGUUCAACUCCUACUGGAGUCA